rnacentral:rRNA from 1 species
CAGUAGCCACGGGAAAACGUAGGGUGCGAGCGUUAAUCGGAAUUACUGGGCGUAAAGCGUGCGCAGGCGGUUUGUUAAGACAGAUGUGAAAUCCCCGGGCUUAACCUGGGAACUGCAUUUGUGACUGGCUGUCUUGAGUACGGGAGAGGUGUGUGGAACUCCGAGUGUAGAGGUGAAAUUCGUAGAGAUGUGGAGGAACACCAGUGGCGAAGGCGACUCUCUGGUCUGUAACUGACGCUGAGGAGCGAAAGCGUGGGGAGCAAACAGGAUUAGAUACCCGGGUAGUCCCUGUCUCUUAUAC